UCCCUAGUGGCUCAGUUGGUAAAGAAUCUGCUUGCAAGGCAGGAGAGCCAGGUUCGAUCCCUGGGUCAGGAA
rfam:Ovis aries breed Texel chromosome 4, whole genome shotgun sequence.